CCUGAGCCAGCUGCUGCAACCUGUUUGGGUCUGCCUUACUUUGGGGGGGCUUUGUUCUUUUGCUCUUGGCAAUAAAUCUUGCUGUUCCUUGGUCUUUGGGUGUGUGCCAUUACUGGGGAGGUCUGCAGCUUCACUCCUGAGGCCUUUACAACUGAGGUGGGUGAGACAAGGAACCCACCACAAACCCAGCGGGAGGGAGGAACAACUCCAGAUGCACCUCCUUAAGGGCUGUAAUGCUCACCGCAAAGGUCUGCAGCUUCACUCCUGAAGCUAGCGAGACCACGAAUCCGCCAGAAGGAAGGAAACUCUGAACACGUCUGAACAUCAGAAGGAACAAAUUACGGACACACCAUCUUUAAGAACUGUAACACUCACCGCAAGGGUCCGUGGCUUCAUUCUUGAAGUCAGCCAGCGAGACCAAGAACCCACCAAUUCCGGACACACUAAGACAUCAGUUUCUUUUUUCUGAGACAGGGUCUCACUCUGUCACUCAGGCUGGAAUGCAGUGGUGUGAUCAUAGCUCACUCAGCCUCAAACUCCUGGGCUCAAGCAAUUCUCCCACUUCAGCCUCCAAAGUAGCUGGGACCACAGGAGGGCACUGUAUUGCCAGGUCCCUGGAUGUGGUGUGAAGACUGUUCUCUACAAAACUCUAGAAGGCACGAUUUUCAUCAGAUUCACAGCCAGCGUGGCCAUACGCAAUAGAGACGGUGUCUCCCGUCAGGGCAAAGACUUGGUGCUUUUGGUUGCAUAUACCUUAUAAAAGAUUUGGGUUUCC
rnacentral:lncRNA from 1 species